GGCAUUGCGCGAAGAGGCGCCUUGCACUUGACGUGUAAACACAGCUGCUUGCAUAUGCGUGUGCCCUGUAAGUUUUCACGUUGUCUUUCUCCACUCCCUACCCUAUUCCUCCCCAACGAGCGGAAUCUCGAUUUCAUAGUCAACUCCUGUCGUGCGCGUUGUGAAGCAGAGCGAAAAGGUACGCUGGAGGCCCCCUUCUUUCCUGCUUCCUUUCUCUACCCUGCUCCUCGCUGUCGCUUUCGUCCUUUCCUCCCUUUCGCUUCCUCCGUCCUCUCGCUCUCCCUGGCGCUAGCGGCCUCUUCGCGUCGUUUUCCUUUGUUGCUGCUGCUGUUGUCUCUGCCUUCUCUCAUUCCUCUGCCACACGCACACAGACAGGCAGACGACGGAGCUCUUCGCCCUCCCUUCCUUUCGCCGUCUCAUUUUCUACGCUCCCCGUGUGUGUCGCUCGUUAUCUCCACCCUCGAUACCCCCCUACCGCUUCUUUUUUUUUUUCGCAUUCAUGAAGGAUCCUUCGCAUGUCACGGCUGCCCCCACUUCCCCUUCGCCCCAUCCGUCGGCCGUCUCUGGAGGUGCGCCAAUUCCAUGGCUGCCGCUGCCACCAUCGUUGUCAGCGGGCGCGUCAGCCAUGAUCGCAUCAGCGCCGAGCGAGCGCUGGGCAGCCGCGCUGCAGAAGGUGCCCUACCUGCGCUCUAUCCUGGAGGGACCGACGUGCACUGUGUACCGGCCGCCCACCGUAAUUCAGCUGAGCGAGGCUACGGGCUGCUCUGUCAGCAAAUUGGCUGGCGCAUACAGCGACCUACCCGUCAUCACGCUCAACAAAAUUAAGGCGACUGGUGAUCAGGAGGCAGCUGCUGCCGCCGCCGCCGCCGCCAGUCUCAACUCCGAUGGCUUCGAGUACCUACAGCUGUCGCCGACGGACGACUCGCUAGAGAUGGCGGCCAAGGCGCUGGUGGCGCGCCGUCCCGCACCAGACGCGGAGGAGAUCUUCUGGGAGGCCGAAUACUGGGAGGUGCUGCGGAGAGCCAAGCGUCAGGCGCAGGAGGAGAAGGAGCGCCUCCGCGAGAAAAAGCUGGGCCAGAGGGAGAAAAGAGCGGUGAUGGGAGCCAGCAACAGCAGCGUCGGGGUGCCGUCGCCGAAGUUGGGCGGGGCAACGACGCUGUCCUCCAUGAACUCGCCCUCGUUCGCCACGCCGCACAGUCGCCAGGGCUCCCUCGGAGGGCCGUACGGCGACUGCGGUGAUGGCUCACCUGCCUACCUGCACGCCCAGACGGCGGCGCAGCGCACUGCAAAGGGUCUCCUGCGCCGGGCACGGUACAACGAGACCCACAACCCGGUCCAGCGCGUGCUCGUGCGCACAGCGUCGCUGUUGUCGCAGAACAGCGCGACGCAGUCGGUGAUUCGCUGCCGCACCCGCCCGCGCCGCGACUCUAUCACCUCCCAGCAAACGUUGCCUGGUGCACGCGGGUUUCAGUAUCCCCUGUCGUCUUUGGCGAGCGAAGACGGGCGAAGCGCAACCAGCGACUCUUUCAGGACCCCGCCGCCGCACAUCGCUUACAGCCAUCAGUCACGAGAGCUGCUAGCAGCCAGCCUGGAGCUUGAGUUGUCCACAUCCGGUGGGCCAGCCAACACUGACACCACCACACGCUCCGGCCCCGCAUCAGCAGAGGGUGCAAAGGGCGACACCAUGACAACUCGUGAAACGGCACAGCCACACAACGAAGGCGGCUCGCCCAUCGCCACACGCGACGCUGCGAGAAAGCGGCCGUCCACCGCUGCGGCGGCCGUGUCACCGGACUCGUCCUCUUUGCAAAUUUCGUCGAAUCGCUGUUCAACUAAUCUUCGACGCGGCAAGGUGAACAGCUUCCCCUCCGUUACCGCCCCUCCGAAGAGUUCGAUCAUGCAACGGAACUCCGCGACAUGUGCGCCGCUGAUCACCCCGACCGCCUUACCGGCCCUAGAGCCAUCUGCUCAGCAGAGCCCCCCGCCGCCACCGUUGCAGGGUGACAGUGGCAAAGAACAGAAAUGCGAUCCACUUCUACCGCGUUCUGUGGGCGCGAUACGUAAGCCUGUGGAGAAGCAGCCUCCAGGGGCUGAAGGGGGGCGCGAAGGACGUGGUGGUGGCGGCUCCUCAUCGCAGCCUCAGCUGCUCUCUCUCUCGGCGAUGCCUCGCAUGUCUGUUGGGCAGCCCUCGGCUGGCACAUCUUCGCUGACGGCGGACGAGCAGCCUAGGUUUCGGUGCACCACAGCACGGCCCUCGCCCGACUCCAGCAAUGCACGGGCUACUAGCAGCGCCUCCUCACGCCCUUCAGGGAGCGCGCCCGGAACGUCGUCCCAGUCUGCAUCCGGGCCUACCGUCACAGGUGACUCGCGGAAGGCGAAGAACGCGGUCGCAGCGCCGUCUUUGGUAGUGCGGGAAGCCACUGCCACAGUCCCCACGAGCAGCAUCGGUGCGCCUUUCAUCGCAGCUGACAUGAAGGUACGUAGAAACGCAGGCAAGCGAUUAGUGGCCAGAGCCGACUCGAAGCCUCUGCCCCUGCACCCGAGCUCAGCCCAUCCGCCAUCCGGUCAUCGCUUGGAUGGCGAUUCUGCUCCGGACAAGGCCUUCCGCCUUUCCUCGAUGCCGCCUCGUACCGCUACCGUGACAGCCGCGGCAUCGCCUGCACCACCGCAUUCUUCUUUCUCUUCCUCGACCGCGCAGACAACGAUAGUGCCGCAGUCCGCGUCUAUGCCAGUGAUGCGUGCACCAGUGCCCAAGCCGCUACCAUCAACAGGACCUGCCGUGCCACCGGCUAUCACCGUUAUAAGCACUGCGGCUCCCUCACCAUCGAGUAGCGUGACAACACGCAGGACGGCAGCGGCUGCGCCCUCAUCGUGCCCCCCGACUAGAGAGGCAUCUCUGUCGCCGUGCUUUGAACGGGCCGCGGCAGCCGUGCGCGCUGCGUCAUCGCCAGCCCCCGAAGACGGUGCUGACAAAACGUUGUCCACAACGUCACGCGUGACCGUUGCCCCGCCGACAGCGACGAAGCCGCCCUCCGCCGUCACAAAGCCGCUCAGGAAUGGUGAGGCGCCGCUCGCAAGUCGCCAGAACACCACGGCGGCGGCAAGUGAAAAGGACGCCAAGGGAGAAGAGGCAAAGCCACCUGCACAGGUGUCCAGCACCGCCUCGAAGGCUGACGUGGCACCCCCUCGGCCGAGCAACCACCGCGCAGACGAGGAUGCGGCGGCACGUUCCUCUUUCUUGUCCACUCCUCCCUCCGCUGCUGAUGCGGGACGAGUCGCACACGACGCAUCCGAGAGCGGCGCGAAAGCUUUUUCGCUGCCUUCGAGAAAAGUCGAGAAGGCGUCCAGAUGCUGCGUCGUACUGUAGAAUUGCUUGCGUAGAGCAGGCUUUCACCCAUUUUCUCUCUCUUGAUGGAUAAGGACAGCCCCCAAGUUGCGCGUAGCCCUGCGAAUCCGCAGACACCAAAGGACGUUGUGCGGCGGUCGAUGGCGGCGGACGAGCAGAGGCGGGAGGAUGAUGAGAGAGGAGGCGCGCUGCGGACUUCACAGGCAGACAAAGCGCCCCGCCCACCUUCAGCACGGCGGAUGCGUGCACAUGCUCAAGAUGCUUUUUUUUUUCGUUGUUAGGUGUGUGGCCAUUUCGAGUGCCGCUCUAAAGAGGCGCCAUCCGCGACCUUACAGUGCAUCAUGAGCGAGCGCUUCUCCUGGUGCGCGCCCGCGCAGAAAAGCAAUCCAAGGGCCCUAUCUAAUUUGGCGGCACAGCGUCCUGUGCGCGGAAGCUUCUCUCCAAUGUCUCACGUGCUCUUUCCGCCGGCAACCGCUCUCCACUUGGCUGUUCGGAGCGCGAAACCGAGGCAAUUGCAUGCUCAAGAACACGUUUCACAGCUCGUGCGAGGAACGAG
rnacentral:misc_RNA from 1 species